GAGGGUAUAGCUCAGUGGUAGAGCACAGGCUUAGCAUGCAUGAGGUCCUGGGUUCAAUCCCCAGUACUUCUG
rnacentral:tRNA from 1 species